AUGCCUCUUUGGAUAUCAAAUCUAGCAAAUUUAGAGGUGUUAGUCUUAUCUAACAAUAAACUCACUGGAUCAAUACCAGCCUGGAUCAAAGCCCUAAAGCACCUCUUCUAUCUAGACGUAAGAAACAACACCCUCACAGGGGAAAUUCCAACAAUAUUGAUGGAUAUGCCAACGCUAAUGUCAGAGAAUAAAGAAGCUCAUUUGGACCCCAGGCUCUUCGAGUUGCCUGUUUAUAAGAGCCCAUCACUCCAAUACCGCAUACCCAUUGCUUUCCCUAAAGUGCUGGAUCUAAGCAACAAUAAAUUCACCGGUGAGAUACCUCUGGAGAUUGGUCAGUUGAAAGCUGUCCUUUCACUCAAUUUCAGCUUCAACUACUUGACAGGACGGAUUCCACAAUCAAUAUGCAAUCUAACAAAUCUGCUGGUGCUAGACUUGUCCAGCAACAAUCUUACAGGUGCAAUCCCAGGUGCAUUGAAUAGUCUGAACUUCCUUUCAGGAUUCAACAUUUCUAACAAUGAUCUAGAAGGCCCUAUUCCAUCUGGAGGGCAGCUUAAUACAUUUCCGAAUUCUAGUUUUGAUGGGAAUCCAAAGUUGUGUGGCUCUAUGCUCACCCACAAAUGUGCAUCAGCUUCAACACCUCUAGUCUCCCAAAAUCAAAGAAAUAAGAAGGUUAUUUUUGCAAUCACAUUUAGUGUGUUCUUUCGAGGCAUUGCUAUUCUUUUGUUGCUGGGGCGUCUCUUUGUCUCAAUCAGGAUGAAGGGUGUUACAGCAACAAGUCAAAGGGGGAAUAAUGGAGACGUUGAUGCAUCUUCAUUCUACUCCAGUUCAGAGAAAACAUUAGUGGUGAUGUGGAUGCCACAAGGCAAUGGAGAAGACAACAAGAUCAACUUUAGUGACAUUUUGAAAGCCACGAACAACUUUGACAAGGAAAACAUUAUUGGAUGCGGAGGUUAUGGCUUAGUCUACAAGGCAGAACUACCUGAUGGCUCCAAGCUGGCAAUUAAAAAGCUCCACGAUGAAAUGUGUCUGAUGGAAAGGGAGUUCAGGGCAGAGGUUGAUGCACUCUCCAUGACACAGCAUCAAAAUCUCGUACCACUAUGGGGUUACUGCAUCCAGGGAAACUCAAGGCUGCUCAUAUAUUCCUACAUGGAGAAUGGCAGCCUAGAUGAUUGGCUUCAUAACAGGGAUGAUGACGUUAGCUCAUGUUUUGACUGGCCAACUCGGCUCAAGAUCGCACAAGGAGCAAGCCUGGGACUUUCUUAUAUCCAUGAUGUCUGCAAGCCUCAGAUUGUCCACCGUGACAUCAAAUCCAGUAACAUCCUACUGGACAAAGAAUUUAAAGCUUAUGUUGCUGAUUUUGGGCUAGCCAGAUUGAUUGUUCCCAACAGAACUCAUGUUACAACUGAGUUGGUCGGCACUAUGGGUUACAUCCCCCCUGAGUAUGGGCAAGCAUGGGUUGCUACCUUGAGAGGUGAUAUAUACAGUUUUGGAGUAGUCCUGCUUGAGCUGCUCACUGGAAUGCGACCUGUUUCAGUCCUAUCUACAUCAAAAGAACUUGUCCCAUGGGUUCUACAGUUGAGGUCUGAGGGCAAGCAGAUUGAGGUCUUGGAUCCAACACUUCGAGGAAUAGGAUACGAAGAGCAAAUGCUGAAGGUGGUUGAAAUCGCUUGCAAGUGUGUCAAUCAUAAUCAAUUCAGGAGGCCAGCUAUGAUGGAAGUAGCCUCCUGCCUGGCCAGUAUAGACGAUGACCAACAGAUGCAAAGAACAGCCAAGAUAGAAGGAACAACACAUGAUAGAUAA
rnacentral:rRNA from 1 species